rnacentral:rRNA from 1 species
UAAGCACUAUACCGUGAAACUGCGAAUGGCUCAUUAUAUCAGUAAUUGUUUAUUUGAUAGUACCUAUUUACCUGGAUACCCGUGGUAAUUCUAGAGCUAAUACAUGCUAAAAACCCCGACUUCGGAAGGGGUGUAUUUAUUAGAUAAAAAACCAAUGCCCUCUGGGGCUCCCUGGUGAUUCAUAAUAACUUAACGAAUCGCAUGGCCUUGCGCUGGCGAUGGUUCAUUCAAAUUUCUGCCCUAUCAACUUUCGAUGGUAGGAUAGUGGCCUACCAUGGUAUCAACGGGUAACGGGGAAUUAGGGUUCUAUUCCGGAGAGGGAGCCUGAGAAACGGCUACCACAUCCAAGGAAGGCAGCAGGCGCGCAAAUUACCCAAUCCCAAUACGGGGAGGUAGUGACAAUAAAUACUGAUACAGGGCUCUUUUGGGUCUUGUAAUUGGAAUGAGUACAACUUAAAUCCCUUAACGAGGAACAAUUGGAGGGCAAGUCUGGUGCCAGCAGCCGCGGUAAUUCCAGCUCCAAUAGCGUAUAUUAAAGUUGUUGCAGUUAAAAAGCUCGUAGUUGAACCUUGGGCCUGGCUGGUCGGUCCGCCUCACCGCGUGCACUGAUCCGGCCGGGCCUUUCCUUCUGGGGAGCCGCAUGCCCUUCACUGGGUGUGUCGGGGAACCAGGACUUUUACUUUGAAAAAAUUAGAGUGUUCAAAGCAGGCCUAUGCUCGAAUACAUUAGCAUGGAAUAAUAGAAUAGGACGUGUGGUUCUAUUUUGUUGGUUUCUAGAAUCGCCGUAAUGAUUAAUAGGGAUAGUCGGGGGCAUCAGUAUUCAAUUGUCAGAGGUGAAAUUCUUGGAUUUAUUGAAGACUAACUACUGCGAAAGCAUUUGCCAAGGAUGUUUUCAUUAAUCAGUGAACGAAAGUUAGGGGAUCGAAGACGAUCAGAUACCGUCGUAGUCUUAACCAUAAACUAUGCCGACUAGGGAUCGGGCGAUGUUAUUUUUUGACUCGCUCGGCACCUUACGAGAAAUCAAAGUCUUUGG